UUACAUUUUUGUAAUACAAUCGAUCAUUUUUGAAUCUGGGUAUAUUAUAAGUUGAAGAGUAAAUGUCGUGCAUGCAAAUGGAUACUAUCCAAGUAGGUAUAAUAUAGGAGGUAUAUAUUUAGGAGUGUUACCUAUUUUGGAGGUGAUCCAAUUGAGGUCGUAUCACCUUUUCCUUUGAUCUGGCUAAUGCUCGUCGUUUGGUCCUGAAGAAGGAAAAAUGGAGCAUCCUUUUUCUGAAUGUAUGUACUCACUUUAUUUACUACAAAGAGCUAUACUUAAUAAAUUUGUGAAUGUGAAUUCCAAAUGAGGGAGAGGAGAGUUAUACCUUUGUAUUUUCUUCUUCAGUAUCAGAUUUAUAAUCAUGCUGACUGUAACUGUACAACAAUAAUUAGUGUUAGAAACUGAUUUCUCAGUUUGCAAUUGUAAAUGGACACUAUAUUUUUGUAAUUCAAUAGAUUUUCUUGGAUCCUAGCACAUCCUCGUUCCUUUUUCCCCGUACAGAAAUACUCCCUCCGAUUUUUUUUAUAUGACACUGUUUAGUACAAAAUUGAACUGUGCAGCGACAUAUAUAUCCGAACGGAGGUAGUACCUAAUAUGGAGUGACAAUGAUUUUGUAUUGUCAAAAGAUAACUAAUGUCUUUAGUGCAUGACAAAUCAUAGUUUCACACUUUCCAGUGUGAUACUGAACCUACUAAAAUAAGUAUAUUGUUAACUGGCACUGAACUGCUAGCUUGAGUAGUAUUCUGUGUCUAUCUUGUUUGAAGGAGGCAUGGACCAUCUGCUUUUAAUCCAGCAUUUCCUUGAUUGAAGGAGAAAGUCUGGUGUUGGAGUUCUACAAUUGGCAUUCAGUUAUGAGUGUACAUCGUACAAUAUGUCGCAUAAAACUGGGAGGCAUAAAUGUUGCGCUUGGAAACAUGAGUGAAGAUGAUUGGAAGUGGCAUAUGUAUGGCACUAUUAAGUGAAGCGAUUGGCUCGGUUACCAGGAUUUUAUUUAGUAUAUGUGCAGAGAAGCACCAAAAACUGUUAUAGAGCUUGAGAACUAUGGAUUAUCAAAAACUGUUAUGAGGAGAGAAAAGAUGCAAGAGAAUGUAGAGGCCGGACGACAAUGCGGCUGCUUCGGUGGUGUCAUGGGAAAGAGAUAAACGGCCUUAUCCAUUCGCAGUGCAUUGCAAGAAGUUUCCAGAAAUCGACGGUUGUUCGUUAAAAUGCGAUCGUGCGAUGGAGAAUAAAAAGGACGAUGUGGCGCACUGAGGAAGCAGGGCGGAUGAGGAGGUCACUGAUCCAAAGGCUCACCUAGAGGAUCGUUCAAAGGCUAAGUGUCUAUCACAGUGGUAUGAAUAUCAGGGUUGGAUGGUCCCAAAUUACUCUCUACUGCUUGUGCUAUUAGCAACUCCUGCAUUCUGAAUGCAGCUAAUCAUAUUAGAAAAGGGGAAGGUGUAGGUGACUUCAUUUUCUUGUGAUCUAUUCUACUAUAAGUAGUGUGUAAUUGCAGUUAUAGCCUAAACAUAUUGGAGAGAUUCAGUUUAACUGUGAGGGGACAAGAUCAUCCCAUGCCCAUCGGUGUUAAAAUUGGAGAGGUUUAGUUUAGUUGUUUGGUAGAUGGGGAGACUACUAAAUGAGAAACCUGAAUGACAAAUAAGCCUCAGAUGAAUAUUGAGUUCGAAUUUGUUCUCCAAAUGAAUUUCUAUUUUUGUCAGUUUGUGUAGGCCUGAAUUAGUCAAGCCACACUUUCUUCUUGUGUAGUACAAUCCUUAAUUGGCUGCUUUUAGUUCUAGCUUCGUGAGUCAAACGAUUUUAUACUUGUUUCCUUUCUAUGCUUCCGUUCUUAUUUUGUGCUAAGCUGAACAAUGCUUGGUUGCAGUGAGCAUAAAUGGAUCUUUCUAGAUUACCCGAGGCAGCAGGCGACUGGUGACUAUUGAAACCAUCGACUGGCGCCACCAAAUUGGAAGAAAUACACUUGAAGAACCGUCCUGUCAGUCUCCUUGUCGCGGAGCAUUUACCUUUUCUUGCAGGUAACUUGGGAUCGACUUACUGACAUGAGCAACAAUCUGAUGACACUACAAGACACCGCUAUGCAAUGGUCGCCACCCUCUUUGGGAUGAUGCAGAGGUCAAAGCAACAAAUAGCUAUAUUUUAAAAAGAAAAAAGUUAAGAACAUGUAUCCUAAUUUCUCUAUUCACUGAUUAUAAUUUAUGAUCUUAGGAAUAACUAGAUAGUGUUGUCGGUAAAGCACCAAUACUAUCACCAAAUAUUAUUGACCAACUUACUAUAGGCAGCACAAAAACUUAUUCUUGUAAUUUCCUAAAAUCUAAUGAGUGGGAAAAGAGGCCCACAAUAUAGGCAUAUAGCUACCAUAGUUGGCUAAAAACGUAGUUUUGACCUAUUACUCUAGGCCUAUUGGAUGUUGGUGGUUCUUUGUUGGCAUCAUAUCAAGAGAUUCUUGCAUUUCUCCAGGUGUCAUGUUUAUAUCAUUGGUUUAGAUUACUAGGGUUUAUAAUGUUACUGCAUAAUUGUUAACAUGAUCUUUGUAGUCAUGUUUAUAGUCAUAUCAUAUCAAUAGAUUUUUCUUUUGGUAAUCUUAUCUUCUAAAUCAAGUUUGCAUUCCGUUUAGACUGUAGGUUAUGUUGGUCAUAACAAGCUGGAAAAGAUGAUCAUAGUAACAAGGAAAGAUCAUAUCAACAGUUCAUGUUAUGUUUGCAGAUAUGGAUUUCAAUGGUUUUCUCCACGUUACGAAAGCGGGAAGAGUCUUUUCUACUCAGUUUUAUGUUAACAGUGGUGUUAUGGUGAAACAGUCUUGCGUGUAUGAACCAACAUCUAAACUGUAAACACGACAUUAUCAUAGUUGAGUACAGGGAUAAUUAUCUCUUAUGUCUUACUGUAAAAUCUGAAACAAUUGUCUUGCAACUGCUUAGCAUGCAUUUUACGCUACAAUUACCUGAAA